UUAUUAUAGAAGGGAGGAUACACCUGUUCCCAUUCCGAACACAGAAGUUAAGCUCUCUAUCGCUGAUGGUACUUGGGGCGAAGGCCCCUGGGAGAGUAGGACGUA
rnacentral:rRNA from 1 species